GUUAAUUAGUGUCCUAAUGUCAAGGGCCCCUUAUGCACAUAUAAAACGUCAACGUCCUCAUGGGUAAACUUCGGUUGGUGAGGACUGGGAAGCAUAUAAUGAACAAUCCUACCAACCCACUCAAACUCAAUCGCAACCAGCAGAUCUUUUAAUCAAAAGAAGUAGAUUAAAUUCCACACUCUGGCAGUCUUUAUCCAUUCCGACAGGCCGCAAGUUCACUCUCCAUCCAGCUACAAUGCAACUUGACUAUGGUCAACAAAAGGUCUCAUUAAAACUACUCGUAUAUACUCACUCUGUUGUUCCAAAUUGGAGGUCGUUUUGACUUUUCUCGGUUCAUAGAUAUUAUUAUGCACCUAGACAUACACUAUAUCUAGAUGCAUAAUAAUAUCUAUGAAAAAAAACUAAAACGACCUACAAUUUGAAACAAACGGAGAAAGAGAGUAGUAUACAUUUGCAACCUCUCCGUUAAACAAGAGUAAAACUCAGAGCAGCAGAUGUUUAGCUGGAGACUACUCUUGUUUUACUACUUUGUGCGGUCGGCAUCUCCAGUGGAAGAAAUGAUAUCACCACCAAGCUGACUUUACAGCUCAUGGUCCUACCCCCAAUCUGGCAUCCACAUUGCAAACAUGACACCGUGGCAGAUGCCCUAUCAACCAUCAUGCACCAUGCACAGUGGCAAUAAUCGAACCCUCUUUCUGGAUGGGCUAUCCACAUUUGGAGCCCUGGCCUCUCAUUAGUCAUUGCUACAGCUAAAAGAUGACAUGCACG
rnacentral:lncRNA from 1 species